CUGGAACGGGACGCCGAAGAGGGUGAGAGCCCCGUACGGUCGGUUGCCGAGCCUCUGUAAAGCUCCCUCGAAGAGUCGAGUAGUUUGGGAAUGCUGCUCUAAACGGGAGGUAAACCCCUUCUAAAGCUAAAUACUGGCCAGAGACCGAUAGCGCACAAGUAGAGUGAUCGAAAGAUGAAAAGCACUUUGAAAAGAGAGUCAAACAGCACGUGAAAUUGUUGAAAGGGAAGCGCUCGUGACCAGACUUGUUGCCCGGCAGUUUUAGCGGUCCUUUCAGGGCCGUGUACUCUGCCGGCUCAGGCCAGCAUCGGUUCGCUGCGGGGAAGAACGGCGGGGGGAACGUGGCCCUUCGGGGUGUUACAGCCCCUCGCUACGCCCUGCGGCGGACCGAGGUUCGCGCACUGCAAGGAUGCUGGCGUAAUGGUCACCAGCGACCCGUCUUGAAACACGGACCAAGGAGUCGUCCUAAUAUGCGAGUGUUCGGGUGGCAAACCCCUGCGCGUAAUGAAAGUAAACGUAGGUGAGAGCUUCGGCGCAUCAUCGACCGAUCCUGAAGUCUUCCGAUGGAUUUGAGUGGGAGCAUAUUGGGCCGGACCCGAAAGAAGAUGAACUAUGCGUGGAUAGGGUAAAGCCAGAGGAAACUCUGGUGGAGGCUCGCAGCGGUUCUGACGUGCAAAUCGAUCGUCGAAUCUGCGCAUGGGGGCGAAAGACUAAUCGAAUCUUCUAGUAGCUGGUUUCCGCCGAAGUUUCCCUCAGGAUAGCAGUGUUGAGCUCAGUUUUAUGAGGUAAAGCGAAUGAUUAGGGACCUGGGGGCGCCAUUUAGCCUUCAUCCAUUCUCAAACUUUAAAUAUGUAAGAAGCCCUUGUUACUUUGGUGAACGUGGGCAUUCGAAUGUAUCAACACUAGUGGGCCAUUUUUGGUAAGCAGAACUGGCGAUGCGGGAUGAACCGAUCGCGAGGAUAAGGUGCCGGAGUGGACGCUCAUCAGACACCACAAAAGGUGUUAUCACAUCUGGACAGCAGGACGGUGGCCAUGGAAGUCGGAACCCGCUAAGGACU
rnacentral:rRNA from 1 species